rnacentral:lncRNA from 1 species
GGGUUGGGUGGGGUGGGGGUGGGGUGGGGGCAGGGUUACCAGGACUCUGGGAGCCUCUGGUCCACAUACACCAAAGCUUUCCUUCCCUGCACUCCUGAAAUGAGAACCAGCCUUCUGAGAAUGCCAAGGCUUCCUCCUUUCCCAGUCAUCCCUGGGGUGAAAUCUGUUGGCUACACAUUUAGGUAGCUCGCCCUAAGACGGCACAAGGCAAAAACCGGAGUCGGAGUCUUAUGCGAAACCUGCGACGGUGAUGCUGGCGCCCGCGGCAGUGGCUGGCAGCUGUAACAGCGCUGGGCUGUGGGCGCUGGGACCCCGCGCGCGCCUGCGUGGCGUGCGUGCGGUUGCGGGGAACCUGUGUUCGCGCGCAGGAAGCGAACGCGGGCCGCACCGCUGCGGGUGCCACUGGCGCGCGGGAGAUUGUUUGCACACCGGAUGGUCUCUGCCAUUGCUUCAUUCCACACUGGGUGAAUUUCCAGAUUGCUUCCCCCUCCUCUGGAAGCUCUUCCUCCAAAACUCCGUCUGUGGGGCAGAUCGUGUUCCUUGGUGUGAGCCUUCUAAGUAGCAUAUGGCAAAAAUUUAGGCCAAGCUGUGAAGCCCCUGUGGUUAAGGACCUGUGCCUUCUGUACUUCUCUGCUGCUGUGGAUGGCCCCGGCUGUCUUGACUGCCAUUCCCAAUAGGAUGUCACUGAGAUCCCUCAAAUGGAGCCUCCUGCUGCUGUCCCUGCUGAGCUUCCUGGUGAUCUGGUACCUCAGCCUUCCCCACUACAAUGUGAUUGAGCGUGUGAACUGGAUGUACUUCUAUGAGUAUGAGCCAAUUUACAGACAAGACUUUCA